AUAAACACAUAAAAAGUGUCGUUAAAGUCGCACAAAAUGAGUCCAACAACCAAAUUAAAAUAAGAUUAUAGAAUUCUUUAUUGGGCAUAGAGUCUUUCCCUAUUAGGAUCAAACCAGAGACCUUAUAAAACAGAAACUUACCACACCAAUGAGGGGAGUCUGCACUUUUUCUUCUUUCUGAAGAGUCCUUGAUGGAAAAUGUUCCCUUCAUAUCUACAUAAUUCACCUUCAUAUACAUAUUCCAUAAUCCAAAUAAACGUUAUGAAUCCGCAUCCUUCCCGUUCACCCCUUGUCUAACGAAUUGCCCACGAACCCGAGGUCUCUGUUCUGCCAGCUUCUUCCUGCUCUGGCAUAUGAAAGAUACCUUUUUUUCAAAGCAUCUUUUUUUCUUCUUUUGGCGGAAUUUAUUAAGGGCGGCUUCUCUCUGAGCUAAUCGGUCUUGAUCAACACCACUCGCGCUUCCACUUCCACUUAAAUUUCCCGUUUUACCCUUCUCAGCAACUCCAUUAUCACCUCCUUCAGCUAUGACCUUUUCGCCACAACUGCCAUUUUCGCCAUUACUCUUAUUGUUACUUCCACCCGAUCCACUUCCAUAAUUAGCAGCAUUUCCUUCAGCCUGUGUAGCCGAUUCUUGCUGCUGUUGUGUCUCAUGGACAUGAUGGUGGUGAUGGAGGUGGUAGUGGUGGUAAUGGUGGCGGACUUGAAACUGUGAUGCUGCCUUGUCACCGUCACAAAGACCGGGAACAAUUGCUUUGUCAUCCAAUGCUUUGUUGGUGCUCGAGCCCAUAUCGUUGUUCUGAGUGCUACUACCGUUAGAUCCUAGAUUCGGGGCUCCGUUUGAGUUAGAUUGUAUGUUUGCAGCUGCCUACGUUUGCGGUUGGAGCUUGAUUGGCAUUGGAUGUCGUGUUAUACCUGUAUGGAAACGGGGAUUAGAAUAA
rnacentral:lncRNA from 1 species